rnacentral:rRNA from 1 species
GUAAGGAAUAUUGGACAAUGGGCGCAAGCCUGAUCCAGCCAUGCCGCGUGAACGAUGAAGGCCUUCGGGUUGUAAAGUUCUUUAGCCGAUGAUUAUAAUGACUGUAGUCGGAAAAUAAGCCCCGGCUAACUUCGUGCCAGCAGCCGCGGUAAUACGAAGGGGGCGAGCGUUAUUCGGAAUCACUGGGCGUAAAGCGUGCGUAGGCGGUCGCGUAAGUUAGGAGUGAAAGCCCAGGGCUCAACCUUGGAAUUGCUCUUAAAACUGCAAGGCUAGAAUCUCGGUGAGGAUAGCGGAAUUUCCAGUGUAGCAGUGAAAUGCGUAGAUAUUGGAAGGAACACCAGUGGCGUAAGCGGCUAUCUGGACGAGUAUUGACGCUGAGGCACGAAAGCGUGGGGAUCAAACAGGAUUAGAAACCCCAGUAGUCC